rnacentral:lncRNA from 1 species
CAUGUUUUUAUAAAAUGUUUUCAUGUAUUUUAGUGUUUUAAGUAUGAUCUUAAAUAAGUUUUUGCAUGAAAAUUCUUUAAGGAAAAACCCAGGUUCGGCCGCCGAAACUCACUUUCGGCCGCCGAACAUGCAUGGACUUUGGGAGGCACGUUAGGCCCCCGAAAGUCUAAGUGAGGGAAGUGCAGGUUCGGCCGCCGAACCUCAUGUUCGGCCGCCGAACAUUGCAUGGAUGCGGAGGCACAUUCGGCCCCCGAACGUGGCCUGGCCAGCCACUAUAAAAGGGUCCCCUUGGUCCGCACGGGCGAGCUUUUUCUCUCCCAUUGUCGGCCAAGGUGAGUCUCCACCGUUCCUCCCUCGAUCUUGAGUGUUUCCUCUAGAUCUUUCAUGGUUUUAACAAGUUUAUAACUUUGUUUUGAAGAUUUGUGAGCUUUGAGCAAGCUUCGAGUGCUUGGAGGUUCAAAGAGCUUAAUCUCUCCAUCUCCAAGCUAGGAUCGCUUUCCUCUCGUUUCUUCAAGAGGUAAGGGUCGAUCUUGAACCCUUUUUAUGUUUUAAACAAGUUUUAAGUAAGAUCUAUGGGUAGAAAUGCAUGUUAGGACAUAUGUUGAGUUUAUGGGUUUUGAUGAUGUUNNNN